CUGCCCGUUCCCAAAGACACGGGCAUUCCCACUUCAGCACGUAGCUGCAAUGUGUGAAUGCAAGUGACAUAGACACAGAGCUCCCCUCUAAUACAAGCCCCGUACCCUUGUGCCCUCCUCCUCCUCUUUCCUGCCGGAUCAGUGCCUCUCCCUGCGACUCCUCCUCCUCUUCCUCCCCCGCUCGGCUAGCUGGGACUCAUAGCCGCCGGGAGCUCGGCAGUCUGGCACAGCGGCCCCAAGGCGCAGAGCAGCGCAGCCCCCGCCGGGGGGAGGAGAGGUGGCACCGGGGGGCCGAGCGCCGCGCAAACCGCUCGCCCCUCCCGAGAUCUCGCAGAGCAGCCGGGAGAGGAGAAGGGCAGGCACCGUGCGGGGGAGCCGCGGGGAAUCCCGGGCUUUUCGGGGAACGGAGAAACUUACCGCCUCGCCUUUCCUCUUGUAGCAGGGAGCUGACAGAUGAGUCCCGGCAGCCAGAGCAGCUGAGGCGCCCCCGGGCCCCGCCGGCUCGCGCUGCGGUCCAAGAGCCUGGGGCCAUGGCGUCUCCUCAGUGCCCAGGGAUGAGCAGGGGGCAGCAACCUCUGGCUGGCGGUGCAGCUGCCCAGGUGCCCGCGCCAGCAGCUCCCGAAUAAGUGUCCUGCCGCUGCCCCCGCUUCUCUUCCUCUCGCGCCCCUCAGCAUGGCUCUCUCGGCCCGAGGCGCGCUCAGGAUGGUGCUGGGAAAGGGCCAGGCAAUCGGCUGCCCAGCCCCCCGCUGAAUCGCCCCCCUCUCUCUGAAGAGGGCCUCUGCCCCCCAGUCGGCGCCGAGCAGCCCCGGAGUUCUCCGCUUGAGCGGCUGAGACCUUGCACGGUCACUGCAGGUACGGGAGGGGUGGGGUCGGCUGGGGUCUUACUAAACCAAUCUUCUCCCCCCCGCCCCCAACCCCGUCCAGAGCGCCAUUUACACGCCGCACCCUCCCGAGUCAAUCGGAAGUGACUUCGGAAGAGAGGCACAAAUCUGAGCUUUCGAGGCAGGGAAGACACGGGGUAGGGAGAGCAAGGCAGCGCCUGUUCUGCCCAUCUGUAAAACUCCUUACCAAGCUGGGAGGGAGGAGAGAGACACCCCUUCCUUUAACUCACUGCACUAACCUGGGGGGGCAGGGGCAUUGAUGGGCAGACUGAAAUACAACACCUCCACACCCUCCCCCCCCAACUCUCUGCCUCCUAAAAGGGCCUUUGACAUGCUGGAGGCUGCCGGUCUCGUUGCAGCUGCUACACCCUCUUUUGUUGUGGGCUCACAAUUCCGGAAUACUUCACAGGCUGCGAUCGACUCCUUGGCAGGGGUCGCUAGUGAGGAGUGGAAGCAAAACGGUUGUGCUUUUCCCCAAGGCUAGUUUGCCUGUUC
rnacentral:lncRNA from 1 species